rnacentral:tRNA from 1 species
UAAGACUUAUGAGAAACUUAACCACAUCUCCUGAAUGCAACCCAGGCACUUUUAUUAAGCUAAAGCCUCC